GCUCAACAGUUACCUUCCCCUCCCCUCCUACUCGAAGUCCGGCAAAUUUUGCCGGCUCUCCGGGCCUGCCGGUUGCCACAGGGUCGAUGCAGUGGAUACCAUUAGCGUCUUCUCUAUUCCACAAGUAUCCUAUCCUCACAUCCCUGUCAACAGUGGUUUAAUUUUGGCUCUUUUGAUUUUACAGGUGCUCUUUGCUGUGCUGUGGUAAACAGUGAAGUUGAGCAACUGUUUAGACUUCAGACUUCAGUGUUCAGACCAAGCAAAUUGGCUUCAGACUUCAGUUCGUGAGGUGCUCUUUGCUGUGCUAUGGUAACCAGUGUUGUUGAGCAACUGUUCAGACUUCAGACUUCAGAAUUCAGACCAAGCAAAUUGGCUUCAGACUUCAGUUCGUUAGAUGACAGAUCCCAGGAGCAAGAUGCCACUGCCGACAACUACUACUACCCCGAUGGUGCCUACUACUACGUGGAGACCACAGACGACCAGGAGUAGUUAGGAGGCUCCCGGGCAGGAAGCCUUGCCUUUUCUAUCGUUGUUGCUUUUGUGCUACACUUCUUAAGGCAGACUUGUUUAUCUUAUGUAUGUACUUAGAUAUUGUUGUUUUCGCUGACUCGUUUGUAUUCAAGGUUAUGUAUUCGAGCCCUUGAGGCCCCUGGCUUGUAAUAUAAAGCUUGUAUGACUUUAAUUUGUGUUUAGAGUUAUGUUGUGAUAUC